GUAGGGAAUAUUGGACAAUGGGGGGAACCCUGAUCCAGCCAUACCGCGUGGAGGAAGACUGCCCUCUGGGUUGUAAACUCCUUUUAUAUGGGAAGAACCGUCCUCAUUAAUGAGUGACCUGACGGUACCAUAGGAAUAAGCACCGGCUAACUCCGUGCCAGCAGCCGCGGUAAUACGGAGGGUGCAAGCGUUAUCCGGAUUCACUGGGUUUAAAGGGUGCGUAGGCGGAUAAAUAAGUCAGUGGUGAAAUCAACGGGCUCAACCUGUUAACUGCCAUUGAUACUGUGUAUCUUGAAUAUGAGAGAGGUAGGCGGAAUGUUGCAUGUAGCGGUGAAAUGCUUAGAUAUGCUACGGAACACCGAUUGCGAAGGCAGCUUACUAUUUCGUAAUUGACGCUGAGGCACGAAAGCGUGGGUAGCGAACAGGAUUAGAAACCCGGGUAGUCC
rnacentral:rRNA from 1 species